AAUCCACCCUUGGUUUCCCAACCUUUCAAAACCCUAGUCUUCCAAGCUGCUCCGAUCAUCAAAUUCAUCGAAAGGGGGAAAAAUGAGUAGCCGAGCGAGCAGGACUCUCUAUGUUGGAAAUCUGCCUGGCGAUAUUCGCGAGAGAGAAGUCGAAGAUCUAUUCUACAAGUAUGGACCUAUUGCUCACAUUGAUUUGAAGAUCCCACCAAGACCCCCUGGUUAUGCCUUUGUUGAGUUUGAAGAGGCACGAGAUGCUGAGGAUGCAAUUCGUGGUCGUGAUGGCUAUGAUUUUGAUGGGCAUCGUUUAAGGGUGGAACUUGCACAUGGUGGGCGUGGACAUUCAUCCUCAGAUCGUCAUAGUAGCUAUAGUGGUAGUGGUGGUCGUGGGCGUGGGGGAGUAUCCAGGCGCUCUGAAUAUCGUGUUGUAGUCACUGGGUUACCAUCUUCUGCUUCAUGGCAAGACCUUAAGGAUCACAUGCGCCGGGCAGGAGAUGUCUGUUUCUCCCAAGUGUUCCGUGAUGGUAGUGGCACUACAGGAAUUGUAGAUUACACGAACUAUGAAGACAUGAAAUAUGCAAUUAAGAAGCUUGAUGACUCUGAGUUUCGAAAUGCAUUUUCUCGGGCAUAUGUUCGUGUGAGGGAAUAUGAUUCCAAACGGGACUCAUCUAGGAGCCCUAGUCGUGGUCGAUCUCAUUCUAGAGGCCGCAGUGAUAGCCGCGGUCGAAGUUUAAGUCAGAGCAGGAGCCGAAGCAAGUCUCCUAAAAACAAAUCUACACGUCGAUCACCUGCAAGGUCUCGAUCGAGGUCUGUUUCUCGCUCUGGGUCAAGGGCACGCUCUCUAUCAAGUGACAUGGGGAUUGGAUAUUAGGAUCUUGAUGGGAUAUGGUUCAGUUGUAGAGGUAUGCUGUUUUUCAGAUGGCAGCUUUGGAAACCUUCAUAGUGUCACUGUUCUAAUGUAUUUAGCAUCAUAAUGUCCAUGGGUGCUAGACUGGGAACAAAGGAGAUUAUGCAUUGCAAUAAUAAGGCUGGAUAUCAGUGAACUAACUGCCAGUGGAUCUGGAAGUCUGGUCAACAUUGAGCGGUAGAAACUGUCAUUAUCUUUUUCUACUCCAACUAUUGCCAAGCUAUUAGGACCUUCUGGCUGGACUCGUUGUGGGAUUUUCCUGUACAGCAGGGAAGCAUGCCUCUGUACUGUCAGAUGGUGUCUUCAAACACAUUAUAGUUCUUUAAUUGAUAUGUAUUAACUUUUUUACUAGUUAUUUUAUUGAGGUCUCAUUUUUAUGAAAUGGUGCCUGAUUUGUUUUUUUUUUUUUUUUGGCUCUCUUGAAUUGCUAAAGUUUAUAGCUUUUCAUAUAAUCAUUUAUGAAUGUGGUUACUCUGACGUGGAAGAGGCAUCAAGGCUCUUGGAUGAGAGUUGUUAAAAGGAACGUGUGGAUUUUAAAUUUGGGUUGUUUCUGGAACUUUUGCAGAUCCCGUUCAAGAUCAAGAUCUCCACUUCCAUCUAAACGCACUAGCAAAAGCCCUAAAAAGCACAGUGUUAGCAGGAGCCCCAGGGAUAGCAGAAGCAGAAGCAGAAGCAAGAGUUUAUCACGGUGAGGUGGUGAUAAUGGCUUAUCCAUGGACCACGGAUUCAGGGAAAGCUGAAAGUAUGUGGUUUGAACUUUUGAAUGAAUAAGUAAUUGGUGAACAAUGCACAAGGAAAAGAGUCGUGAACAAUAUGUUUUAAUUUUACCAAGUGCACCAUGUUCAGAUUCUUGUGCCUAGGCCUGACUUGGAUUGUAUGUUUGAAUUGUUAUCGUUUACCUUAUUGGAUUUUAUUAGCUAUAAUAUAUUUGAUUCUCGGUUAUUUGGA